rnacentral:Y_RNA from 1 species
GGCUGGUGCACAAGCAGUGAGUUCUCUCAAUCGAUUGUCCAGUCAGUUACAGAUCGAACUCCUUGUUCAACUCUUUCCCCUUUCUCACCACUGCGCCUGACUAGUCCAAA